GGGUAGUCCUAGCUGUAAACGAUGCUCGCUAGGUGUCAGACACGGUGCGACCGUGUUUGGUGCCGCAGGGAAGCCGUUAAGCGAGCCACCUGGGGAGUACGGUCGCAAGGCUGAAACUUAAAGGGAAUUGGCGGGGGAGCACUACAACGGGUGGAGCCUGCGGUUUAAUUGGAUUCAACGCCGGAAAACUCACCGGGUGCGACAGCAAUAUGUAGGUCAGGCUGAAGGUCUUACCUGAAUCGCUGAGAGGAGGUGCAUGGCCGUCGUCAGUUCGUACUGUGAAGCAUCCUGUUAAGUCAGGCAACGAGCGAGACCCGCGCCCACAGUUGCCAGCAUGUUCUCCGGAACGAUGGGUACACUGUGGGGACCGCCGCUGGCCUAAAGCGGAGGAAGGAACGGGCUACGGUAGGUCAGUAUGCCCCCGAAUCU
rnacentral:rRNA from 1 species